AAAUUUUUCCUCUUCUUUUACUUUCAGGUUAGGCAUCAGUGGAAUUUUGAAUUUCACUCUGUGGUCAUUUGUACAAAGUAAAAAUAGGACUUACUGGUAGCUCUGGAAAGAUUUUCCAGAUCCUCAGGAAAAAAAGUAUUUGACGACAAAUCUUGGCCUGGCCACCCUGGAUGUGAGAUGACCCACAGGAGCAGUAAUGGCUGUGACUCUGGGCCAUCUAAACAAGGCUCCUUGUUGCUUUGGCACUUGGCUCUGAUGCAAAAAACAAGAACAACAACAAAACAAAACAGGAAUGAAUGAAUGAGCCAAUGAACUGGUGUGGCACAGAAUUUGAGGAGGUUCUGCUGGACUAGAAAUCCUGGUUCCCAGUGGGACUACCCUUCUACCAAGGAACAUGGUAAGGUAAGGCAUCAACAGAACCUGCACUCACACCUGCCACCUAGUCAUGUAGGGCUCUUCAUGCCUGUGGCCCAGUAGUCAAAGGAACGGCUUACUUCACUGUUGGGAGAAAUAUUUCUUAAUUAUUAUGAGAUGCUAGGGUUGCUGUUACAUAAUGGGGGCAGAGAGGAUACGCCUAAAACUCAGGAGA
rnacentral:lncRNA from 1 species